AGAGUUGGGUGGACUCAGGGGCGCCAUAAAAAUUCCAAACUUUAAUUCCAGUCUUCACGGAGAUUCGAACCCAGGAACCCAGGUUAGGAAGCAAAGCACUUAACCACACAACUACCACGUUCUAGUACCAGUACUAGUACAAGUAUGAGUAUUUAAAAAAAUAAAGGAAGUGUAUAUUCAUUUAGCCAAUAUUUAAAUAGAAAUAAUUGAAAAAAUGUAUUUAUUGAAUUAUAAGUAAACAUUGCAUUUAGAUUUUAUCUUUUUUUUUUUCAUAAGCAUUGUUGUAUACCAGUAUAAAAAAAAAACACCCUCAUUUAGUAUAUUAACAAUGUCAUGAUUAAUAAACUUUGAGCAUUGGUUAAAAAUUGAAUGUGGUAAGGGAAGACUGUGACUAUAAAUUUUUAUUGAUUUUGUUUAUGGGUUGUUGUUUUUUCAUUUGUUGAUGUAGCAUUAACAUUGCACUGAAAACCACAAGUUG